GAUGAACGCUGGCGGCGUGCCUAAUACAUGUAAGUCGAGCGAACAGAUAAGGAGCUUGCUCCUUUGACGUUAGCGGCGGACGGGUGAGUAACACGUGGGUAACCUACCUAUAAGACUGGAAUAACUCCGGGAAACCGGGGCUAAUGCCGGAUAACAUUUAGAACCGCAUGGUUCUAAAGUGAAAGAUGGUUUUGCUAUCACUUAUAGAUGGACCCGCGCCGUAUUAGCUAGUUGGUAAGGUAACGGCUUGCCAAGGCAACGAUACGUAGCCGACCUGAGAGGGUGAUCGGCCACACUGGAACUGAGACACGGUCCAGACUCCUACGGGAGGCAGCAGUAGGGAAUCUUCCGCAAUGGGCGAAAGCCUGACGGAGCAACGCCGCGUGAGUGAUGAAGGUCUUCGGAUCGUAAAACUCUGUUAUUAGGGAAGAACAAAUGUGUAAGUAACUGUGCACGUCUUGACGGUACCUAAUCAGAAAGCCACGGCUAACUACGUG
rnacentral:rRNA from 1 species